rnacentral:rRNA from 1 species
CCCAAGAGAUCGGGAUAACACCUGGAAACAGAUGCUAAUACCGGAUAACAACAGAUGAUGCCUAUCAACUGUUUAAAAGAUGGUUCUGCUAUCACUCUUGGAUGGACCUGCGGUGCAUUAGCUAGUUGGUAAGGUAACGGCUUACCAAGGCGAUGAUGCAUAGCCGAGUUGAGAGACUGAUCGGCCACAAUGGAACUGAGACACGGUCCAUACUCCUACGGGAGGCAGCAGGC